GGGGACGACUUGGUUUCGACGGGAUAGGAGGAAGCUGGAUCAGCAGGUCGGGGAUGGCGUGACCCCGUAUAAACCCGCCACAAUCACAAAUGCCGAUAAUCACGGCUAUGCCUUAGCUGCUUAAUAAAGAAGCGGCUACGUCCGACCCGAUUCUUGCCCAUCGAGUUGGGAUGCGGGCGUCAUAAUGAUGGGCUGGCGUCAAGCAGCGCCUCAAUGCCUGACGUGAGAAUUCCGAGGCUGGCUUCCCAUCUGAUCUGUCGCUGGAUUUGAUGGUUAGCGAGAACUAAACAGCGACUAAGCCUGUAGCGGGUCCUUCGGUCACUAUUUCGGACGCGGGUUCGAUUCCCGCCGUCUCCACAA
rnacentral:tmRNA from 1 species